GAUCUGGCUCAGGAUGAACGCUAGCUACAGGCUUAACACAUGCAAGUCGAGGGGCAGCAUGUGGUUGCUUGCAACCAAUGAUGGCGACCGGCGCACGGGUGAGUAACGCGUAUCCAACCUUCCCUAUAGUAGAGGAUAGCCCGGCGAAAGUCGGAUUAAUACUCUAUGUUUUCCAAUGCAGACAUCUAAAAUGGAACAAAGGUUCACCGCUAUAGGAUGGGGAUGCGUCUGAUUAGAUAGUCGGCGGGGUAACGGCCCACCGAGUCGACGAUCAGUAGGGGUUCUGAGAGGAAGGUCCCCACAUUGGAACUGAGACACGGUCCAAACUCCUACGGGAGGCAGCAGUGAGGAAUAUUGGUCAGUGGGCGAGAGCCUGAACCAGCCAAGUAAGCGUGCAGGAUGACGGCCCUAUGGGUUGUAAACUGCUUUUAUACAGGGAUAAAGUGACGUACGUGUACGUUUUUGUAGGUACUGUAUGAAUAAGGACCGGCUAAUUCCGUGCCAGCCGCCGC
rnacentral:rRNA from 1 species